GAUGAACGCUGGCGGCGUGCCUAAUACAUGCAAGUCGAGCGAACAGACGAGGAGCUUGCUCCUCUGACGUUAGCGGCGGACGGGUGAGUAACACGUGGAUAACCUACCUAUAAGACUGGGAUAACUUCGGGAAACCGGAGCUAAUACCGGAUAAUAUAUUGAACCGCAUGGUUCAAUAGUGAAAGACGGUUUUGCUGUCACUUAUAGAUGGAUCCGCGCCGCAUUAGCUAGUUGGUAAGGUAACGGCUUACCAAGGCAACGAUGCGUAGCCGACCUGAGAGGGUGUUGGGCCACAGUGAAAGGGAGACGCGGCCCGGGGUCUUAGGGGGGGCCGAGGGGGGGAAGCUUCGCAAAAGGGGGAAAGCCUGAGGGAGCAACGCAGGGGUGGUGAAGAAGGGCCUCGGGUGGUAAAACGCUGUUUUGGGGGAAAAACAAUUGUGAAAGUAACGAUGCGUGUGUGAAGGGUACCGAUAAAGAAACCCCGGGUAAAUAAGGG
rnacentral:rRNA from 1 species